CAACAAUCAAUAUGAAACUGGUGAUUUUUAUGUGGUUCCAGUUUCGUACGUUAUGAACGAUCUUCGGUACCCAGUAAUGAAAUCGUCGCUUCGCAACAUGAAGAAAUUGAAGAAAAAAAACUUGGAAUUUUCUGCAGAG